rnacentral:tRNA from 1 species
GGGGAUGUAGCUCAGUUGGUAGAGCACAACGCUGGCAGCGUUGGGGUCGUCGGUUCGAACCCGAUCAUCUCCA